GGUUAAGCGACUAAGCGUACACGGUGGAUGCCCUGGCAGUCAGAGGCGAUGAAGGACGUGCUAAUCUGCGAUAAGCGUCGGUGAGGUGAUAUGAACCGUUAUAACCGGCGAUUUCCGAAUGGGGAAACCCAGUGUGUUUCGACACACUAUCAUUAACUGAAUCCAUAGGUUAAUGAGGCGAACCGGGGGAACUGAAACAUCUAAGUACCCCGAGGAAAAGAAAUCAACCGAGAUUCCCCCAGUAGCGGCGAGCGAACGGGGAGGAGCCCAGAGCCUGAAUCAGUGUGUGUGUUAGUGGAAGCGUCUGGAAAGGCGCGCGAUACAGGGUGACAGCCCCGUACACAAAAAUGCACAUAUUGUGAGCUCGAUGAGUAGGGCGGGACACGUGGUAUCCUGUCUGAAUAUGGGGGGACCAUCCUCCAAGGCUAAAUACUCCUGACUGACCGAUAGUGAACCAGUACCGUGAGGGAAAGGCGAAAAGAACCCCGGCGAGGGGAGUGAAAAAGAACCUGAAACCGUGUACGUACAAGCAGUGGGAGCCUCUUAAUGGGGUGACUGCGUACCUUUUGUAUAAUGGGUCAGCGACUUAUAUUCUGUAGCAAGGUUAACCGAAUAGGGGAGCCGAAGGGAAACCGAGUCUUAACUGGGCGUUAAGUUGCAGGGUAUAGACCCGAAACCCGGUGAUCUAGCCAUGGGCAGGUUGAAGGUUGGGUAACACUAACUGGAGGACCGAACCGACUAAUGUUGAAAAAUUAGCGGAUGACUUGUGGCUGGGGGUGAAAGGCCAAUCAAACCGGGAGAUAGCUGGUUCUCCCCGAAAGCUAUUUAGGUAGCGCCUCGUGAAUUCAUCUCCGGGGGUAGAGCACUGUUUCGGCAAGGGGGUCAUCCCGACUUACCAACCCGAUGCAAACUGCGAAUACCGGAGAAUGUUAUCACGGGAGACACACGGCGGGUGCUAACGUCCGUCGUGAAGAGGGAAACAACCCAGACCGCCAGCUAAGGUCCCAAAGUCAUGGUUAAGUGGGAAACGAUGUGGGAAGGCCCAGACAGCCAGGAUGUUGGCUUAGAAGCAGCCAUCAUUUAAAGAAAGCGUAAUAGCUCACUGGUCGAGUCGGCCUGCGCGGAAGAUGUAACGGGGCUAAACCAUGCACCGAAGCUGCGGCAGCGACACUAUGUGUUGUUGGGUAGGGGAGCGUUCUGUAAGCCUGUGAAGGUGGCCUGUGAGGGUUGCUGGAGGUAUCAGAAGUGCGAAUGCUGACAUAAGUAACGAUAAAGCGGGUGAAAAGCCCGCUCGCCGGAAGACCAAGGGUUCCUGUCCAACGUUAAUCGGGGCAGGGUGAGUCGACCCCUAAGGCGAGGCCGAAAGGCGUAGUCGAUGGGAAACAGGUUAAUAUUCCUGUACUUGGUGUUACUGCGAAGGGGGGACGGAGAAGGCUAUGUUGGCCGGGCGACGGUUGUCCCGGUUUAAGCGUGUAGGCUGAUUUUCCAGGCAAAUCCGGAAAAUCAAGGCUGAGGCGUGAUGACGAGGCACUACGGUGCUGAAGCGACAAAUGCCCUGCUUCCAGGAAAAGCCUCUAAGCAUCAGGUAACAUCAAAUCGUACCCCAAACCGACACAGGUGGUCAGGUAGAGAAUACCAAGGCGCUUGAGAGAACUCGGGUGAAGGAACUAGGCAAAAUGGUGCCGUAACUUCGGGAGAAGGCACGCUGAUAUGUAGGUGAAGCGACUUGCUCGUGGAGCUGAAAUCAGUCGAAGAUACCAGCUGGCUGCAACUGUUUAUUAAAAACACAGCACUGUGCAAACACGAAAGUGGACGUAUACGGUGUGACGCCUGCCCGGUGCCGGAAGGUUAAUUGAUGGGGUUAGCGGCAACGCGAAGCUCUUGAUCGAAGCCCCGGUAAACGGCGGCCGUAACUAUAACGGUCCUAAGGUAGCGAAAUUCCUUGUCGGGUAAGUUCCGACCUGCACGAAUGGCGUAAUGAUGGCCAGGCUGUCUCCACCCGAGACUCAGUGAAAUUGAACUCGCUGUGAAGAUGCAGUGUACCCGCGGCAAGACGGAAAGACCCCGUGAACCUUUACUAUAGCUUGACACUGAACAUUGAGCCUUGAUGUGUAGGAUAGGUGGGAGGCUUUGAAGUGUGGACGCCAGUCUGCAUGGAGCCGACCUUGAAAUACCACCCUUUAAUGUUUGAUGUUCUAACGUGGGCCCGUAAUCCGGGUUGCGGACAGUGUCUGGUGGGUAGUUUGACUGGGGCGGUCUCCUCCUAAAGAGUAACGGAGGAGCACGAAGGUUGGCUAAUCCUGGUCGGACAUCAGGAGGUUAGUGCAAUGGCAUAAGCCAGCUUGACUGCGAGCGUGACGGCGCGAGCAGGUGCGAAAGCAGGUCAUAGUGAUCCGGUGGUUCUGAAUGGAAGGGCCAUCGCUCAACGGAUAAAAGGUACUCCGGGGAUAACAGGCUGAUACCGCCCAAGAGUUCAUAUCGACGGCGGUGUUUGGCACCUCGAUGUCGGCUCAUCACAUCCUGGGGCUGAAGUAGGUCCCAAGGGUAUGGCUGUUCGCCAUUUAAAGUGGUACGCGAGCUGGGUUUAGAACGUCGUGAGACAGUUCGGUCCCUAUCUGCCGUGGGCGCUGGAGAACUGAGGGGGGCUGCUCCUAGUACGAGAGGACCGGAGUGGACGCAUCACUGGUGUUCGGGUUGUCAUGCCAAUGGCACUGCCCGGUAGCUAAAUGCGGAAGAGAUAAGUGCUGAAAGCAUCUAAGCACGAAACUUGCCCCGAGAUGAGUUCUCCCUGACCCUUUAAGGGUCCUGAAGGAACGUUGAAGACGACGACGUUGAUAGGCCGGGUGUGUAAGCGCAGCGAUGCGUUGAGCUAACCGGUACUAAUGAACCGUGAGGCUUAACCUU
rnacentral:rRNA from 1 species